CCUGCGGUGGCGCGUGCCUGUAGUCCCAGCUACUCGGGAGGCUGAGGCGGGAGGAUCACUUGAGUCCAGGAGUUCUGGGCUGCAGUGCGCUAUGACCAUCGGGUGUCUGUGCUAAGUUCGGCAUCAAUAUGGUGACCUCCCGGGAGCUGGGGACCACCAGGUCGCCUAAGGAGGGGUGAACCGGCCCAGGUUGGAAACGGAGCAGGUCAGAACUCCCGUGCUGAUCAGUAGUGGGAUUGCGCCUGUGAAUAGCCACUGCACUCCAGCCUGGGCAACAUAGCGAGACCAUAUCUCU
rnacentral:SRP_RNA from 1 species